rnacentral:misc_RNA from 1 species
GAUGAAGAACGUAGCAAAAUGCGAUAAGUAAUGUGAAUUGCAGAAUUCAGUGAAUCAUCGAAUCUUUGAACGCACAUUGCGCCCGCCAGUAUUCUGGCGGGCAUGCCUGUUCGAGCGUCAUUUCAACCAUCAAGCCCCCCGGCUUGUGUUGGGGACCUGCGGCUGCCGCAGGCCCUGAAAAGCAGUGGCGGGCUCGCUGUCACACCGAGCGUAGUAGAUCUCAUCUCGCUCAGGGCGUGCUGCGGGUUCCGGCCGUUAAACCACCUUCAUAACCCAAGGUUGACCUCGGAUCAGGUAGGAAGACCCGCUGAACUUAAGCAUAUCAAUAAGCGGAGGA